rnacentral:misc_RNA from 1 species
GGUGAAGGCAAGCAUCAAUAAUGUGGCAGGUUCCAUUAAUAUUAACCUCAUCAACACGACUAUACUGAAGCAUUUCUUUCCCGGACAUGCCAUAAGAAGCAAGAUGGAAAACACAAUCUGACCCUUGUAGUGCUUUCUGGACUUGUUGUUUGUCUGUUAUAUCCCCUUGAAUGAUUUGAACCCCACAUUGACGGAGUUGAGAUGACCAAGGAGAAUGGGUUCUAAGAUCAAAUGCUUUGACAAGACGAGCACCCCUUCUGACGAGUUCAACACAAAGUGCGGCGCCUAUAAAACCAAGUCCACCAGUAACCACGAAACUCUUCUUCUCUAUCCCUUCGUUUUCGCUCAGAUGCAUUUUUCUCUCCUUCCCCACAACUUAACCUAGCUUUGGAAACACCAACACAAU